UGUCCGGUUGAGCCUGGGAUGUUCUGGCCUGCCCAGAUGUAUGAUCCAGCAUUUUGGAGAGUCCCCAUGGCAGGGGGUCGCAGUGGUGUGUGUCAGAUGUCCGGUUGAGCCUGGGACAUUCUGACCAGCCCAGAUAUAUGAUCCAGUAUUUUGGAGAGUCCCCAUGGCAGGGGUUCGCAGUGGUGUGUGUCAGGUGUCUGGUUGAGCCUGGGACGUUCUGACCAGCCCAGAUGUAUGGUGCAGCAUUUUGGAGAGUCCCCGUGACUGGGGGUCGCUGUGGUGUGUGUCAGGGGGAUCGGGUCCAGCACUUCAAGCGGCACUGGGACCAGAACUGCAAGGACCAUUUGGAGCUGCCCUCCUCACCAAGGGGAUGACCUUCACUCUGGAAUGACUUUGACCUCAGUCUGACUCCAUGCUCUCUCCCG